rnacentral:rRNA from 1 species
AUGAACACUCAAGAAUCUUUGCCAAACAACUUUUCAAAUCUUAUCCACCUUCAGAACCUUAAAAUUAGUUCACCCUACUACUCAAAGGAAAUGAGUUUACCUAGCACAUUGCAUAGGUUUUACCACUUGAAAUUCUUGGACCUUGAAAAUUGGCAUGGUAGUAAAAAAAUGCAUAAAGACACUAGCCGCCUUGUGAAUUUACGCUAUUUUUAUUCUUCUAAAGAACUCCAUUCCAAUAUUCCUGAGGUUGGAAAGAUGAAGUGUUUACAUGAGCUAAAAGAGUUCUGUGUUAAGAAAGAGAGUACUGGAUUUGAAUUGCACGAGCUGGGGGAACUGAGAGAGCUCGGAGGUGAACUCACUCUAUGUAAUCUUGAAACCGUGGCGUCUAAGGGAGAUGCUAGUGCAGCCAAAUUGAAGAAAAAAGAAAUCUGA